rnacentral:lncRNA from 1 species
GUAUGAUUCCUCUGCAGCAAACAAUUCUUCAACCAGUAGCACACCAUUGUAUAACCAGCACUGUUGCCAGCCUUAUCAAAAGAGCAGAAGGGUACAUGAAUAAAUUAACCCAUAUUUAAGUGCCUUUUUGCUAGUUGCCAUCCUUGAUCCAUCUUUGGUUUCUCCAACACCCUCUUUCUCUAAUCAUCACUCGUCUUGUACCUCUUGUCAUCCGAUUGUUUCUGCUUCUUUACCUGAAAGUGAGAAUUGAUGCAGCCUGAUCAAUGUCAACAGUGUACAACAACGGUGACAAUUACAGAGUUGCGAAGCUCACCCGACAAAAAGCACUCAUGGAAGGUUACUUGACUUUGCCUUUCAUCUACUGAAAGGAAACAAGCAAGGUGUGAUCAUUAAAGGUGCGAAUUUUGGCGUAUUAAUAAGAGUUGCUUUUGGCCAAUUGGCAAUUGUGUUGCUAAGCCUAAGAUGUUGGGAGCAGCAAUGAAGAUGACUUCUUGUAAAUAAAACAGUAAGAGUGACAGCUUCAUCUUGUAUGGCAUUGUUCCCUGGAUCGAUAUGCAACACCAUCCCAAGUGCCUUCUUUGCACAAGAAGCCUUCCUGCAAUUAGAAAUUUUCCAAUUGGUUCAUGAUAGAUUAAUACAAUCUCUUCGAUACAUUAAAUAGAAUUAUAUGAACAAGUGCAAAAACUAAAAAACUAAUCUAACAGUUCAUGUGUCCAAUCAACGUUAACACAUGCUAACAAUAAAAAAAAAAUCUGACAGUUCCUGUGUCGUAUCAAAAUUAACUGUGCAUGAAACUAUUUCUAACUACCUGAUAUAAAUCAGUAAAUGUUCUGGCUUGCAACUACAAUCGAGUGCAAAUACAACAGUAAGCGAUAGAUUCUGCAACUUUCUAUUGUGCGGUACCAUCAGAUAAAGAAAUCUUUGGUUCUAGUCUACCAAACAUGAAUUGUAUUUCCAUUAGGUGCAUGUGUUCUACAAUGAAUGAAGAAAUUUGCAAACAACAUGCAAUGAACAAUGUAGAUAAAAAUCAUUAUUAGUUCAGAUAGCCAACAUAAUGCUGAACAUAAAGAUGUGAGGUAUGGCAGUCCACAUGAACAAAUUAACUGUCCGACAGCCAAUGGAGAAGAACUCACGCAUAUAUAAUUUAUAAUCUCUUACUGUCACAUGCAUAAGAGUAACAAAACAAAGAAUGGCAUCUAAAGAAAAGAAAAAUCGGCAGGCAAGUUUUCUUCCAGGAAAACAAACACGUUGUAUCGGUAUCACACCACGAUCAUACUUAUGGUUUGAACAUCCGGGAGGAAAUGAAUACCAUAUGCCAGUGCUGAGGCGAACGCCACGGUGGGCGACCAGGACGCACCGCGUGCCGGAAGGCGCGCUCUUCUUGGUGUCCUUCUGGUCCGCUGGAUGAGCCCGUGCUGGC